UGGGGAAUAUUGGACAAUGGGCGAAAGCCUGAUCCAGCCAUGCCGCGUGUGUGAAGAAGGUCUUCGGAUUGUAAAGCACUUUAAGUUGGGAGGAAGGGCAGUAAGCGAAUACCUUGCUGUUUUGACGUUACCGACAGAAUAAGCACCGGCUAACUCUGUGCCAGCAGCCGCGGUAAUACAGAGGGUGCGAGCGUUAAUCGGAUUUACUGGGCGUAAAGCGUGCGUAGGCGGCUUUUUAAGUCGGAUGUGAAAUCCCCGAGCUUAACUUGGGAAUUGCAUUUGAUACUGGGAAGCUAGAGUAUGGGAGAGGAUGGUAGAAUUCCAGGUGUAGCGGUGAAAUGCGUAGAGAUCUGGAGGAAUACCGAUGGCGAAGGCAGCCAUCUGGCCUAAUACUGACGCUGAGGUACGAAAGCAUGGGGAGCAAACAGG
rnacentral:rRNA from 1 species